rnacentral:rRNA from 1 species
AACGAACGCUGGCGGCAUGCCUAACACAUGCAAGUAGAACGAGACCUUCGGGUCUAGUGGCGCACGGGUGCGUAACGCGUGGGAACCUGCCCUUAGGUUCGGAAUAACUCCCCGAAAGGGGUGCUAAUACCGGAUAAUGUCUUCGGACCAAAGAUUUAUCGCCUUUGGAUGGGCCCGCGUUGGAUUAGCUAGUUGGUAGGGUAAAAGCCUACCAAGGCGACGAUCCAUAGCUGGUCUGAGAGGAUGAUCAGCCACACUGGGACUGAGACACGGCCCAGACUCCUACGGGAGGCAGCAGUGGGGAAUAUUGGACAAUGGGCGAAAGCCUGAUCCAGCAAUGCCGCGUGAGUGAUGAAGGCCUUAGGGUUGUAAAGCUCUUUUACCCGGGAUGAUAAUGACAGUACCGGGAGAAUAAGCUCCGGCUAACUCCGUG